GCAUUCGUGGUGUAAUGGUCAGCACACUGAGCCGGUAUUUCAGAGGUCCGCGGUUCGAUCCCCGGCGAAGGCA
rnacentral:tRNA from 1 species